rnacentral:rRNA from 1 species
AUACGGAGGGUGCGAGCGUUAAUCGGAAUUACUGGGCGUAAAGCGUACGUAGGCGGUUGGUUAAGUUAGAUGUGAAAGCCCCGGGCUUAACCUGGGAACUGCAUUUAAAACUGGCGAACUAGAGUUGAGUAGAGGGGAGUGGAAUUUCAGGCGUAGCGGUGAAAUGCGUAGAGAUCUGAAGGAACACCAGUGGCGAAGGCGACUCCCUGGACUCGAACUGACGCUGAGGUACGAAAGCGUGGGUAGCAAACGGGAUUAGAAACCCUAGUAGUCC